rnacentral:lncRNA from 1 species
GCCAGAGGGGAGGACGUGGGGCUAUCAGUCCAACUCCUCAGUUAAUAGCCAGGGAAACAGAAGCCCAGGGAGAUAAAGACGGUGGCAGAGGAGGAAUUCUUUCUUAGCAGAUCUUCCAUUCCUAAUCCAGGAUCAUUUCCAGGGCUCCCAGGUUCUCAAGAUGCUUGAAUCCUGGGACAAACACAGAGGAAGGAGCUCCUAAGGAUGGGGGCAGUGGUGAGGAAACAGGCCACUGAGACAGUGAUGGUGUUUGUAGGCAAAGAAGCUACUUGUAUUUGCCAACCACACCAGGAGGCCAGGUUAGGAGUUUCAAAACAAGUUUGCUGCCAAGAAAAACACACAAAAACCCAUAGAUUCAUGCUCUGUAAAUCUCAAGAAGCAACUCUGUCCCAUCCCCAGUCAUGCCCUACACUGGGUCUGUCUUAGAAUUCUAUGUGCAAACUGGCCCCUGCUACUUAUGACACCCCCGAGGGCCUGGCUUUCAUUCAUCCUCCUAUCCAAUCACUAUCUGGUCCCCAGGGUAAAGUGCAGUAUCUAUACCCAGAGUCACAGCCUGCAGAGCCUCUGGGAGAAGCCGGCCACCAGGAUGCUCUUCCCAGUGACGUAGCUGGCAUCUGUAGAGUGCAGGAAGGACAUGGUUCCUGCACAGUCCUCUUAACCCCUGCAUGGAAAGAGAACAGAACUGAGGCCUCAGCCUAUGCUCUAAUGAACUCUGAUCGCUGGUCCUGCUGCUCUGAACAUAGGGCCCAGCACCACCUCCAGCCCUGAAUCCCACCUCCCUGGCCCAUCAGAGGCCUGGGCUCCAUAGAGAGAUAUGGUGGGGCCCCUCAUGCCCUCCAGAUCCCACCUCAUGGGCUGUGCAUCCCCAGACUCUGUGAGAGGACGGGCUGAUAGGUGAGGAUACAGUCCGAGAGCCCUGUCUCCCCUGGAGAAGACUACCUGUCUCUGCUAUCCACAGGGGUUUUUAAAGGAGUUUUGCAGAGCCAGAUUAUCUUCAACCUGAAAAAAUUCAGAGGCUCAGUGCUAAAUAGAACUGUGAAGGGCCAGAGAGGCUGCCAUGGCAGACUCAUGCCCUUGUGGGCAGAUGGCCCUGCUCAGUGCUGGGUCUGCAGUCCCUCGACUGCUCCCAGAGAGGACAGCCCUGGUGCAGAUACAGGAAGUGAGAGGCUGCUGGUCUCACAAAGCCAUGGCCAGACUGGGGAAACCAACAAAGUGGUUGGUGGGGGCAACUGGGAGCUGCUGAACCCUCAUCAUGUGGUUAAAGUCAGUUCUUGAUGAUUCCUGGCAACAGGCGGGGCACCUGGAUACCCUUUGGUGCCAGCUCUAUAGCCAAGGGCUUGGUGAGUCCCAGCAGUGCAGUUUUGCUGGUGGUAUAGGCCUCCAGCAUCUAAGAAGGAAAUGAAAUGGAUAAGGUGCACUGCGCUGGAGGAGAGGGGCUCUUGCUAGACCCCCAAGGCUAUGGAGGAUGACUAUGCCUGCACUUACACCUGCACUCACACCAGCACUCACACCUGCACUCACAUGUUUCUCCCACUCCACUCCAGGAAAUUACCAGUGAACAAAAUCUGAGCAGGAGCGGAAUGAAGCCUGGGCUUAAAGAAAAGUCAGGAAGGCAGAGGCUGUGUUCACCCAUGCUUAGCCCAGAGAGAAUUGCUUAGGGUGCAGAGCCAGGGAAAUGCACUAAAGAGACCCAUGACCAGAUUCCUGCUCUACCAUGACUGGUCGCCCUUGGGCAAGUCACUUAUCAUCUCCAUGUCUCAAUCUCCUCCUCUGCCACAGGGAGUUUAUCAGGCCUGCUCUGUGACAGUCAUAGGAAUGUCAUGCAGGGACACUGAUAGCCUAUAGUGCCCCCUGGUGUAAAUUUUUUAAAAAAACUUUCUUCUGAGCUUAUGCAGCCCCACUAGUGCCUGACUUUGUGAGAGCAAAUAGUAAAGCCACCCUGUUCUUCGGGUGAAUGUAGCCCCAAGCCAGGGUACAUGUCUUGUCAAGCAGAGCAUGGACUGGAUUUCAGCUCCUACUUGUUUCUAGACUAGGCGACCUUGUGCAGUGAACAACCUAUACAACCACACAUGGCAGCCCUGGGGCUUUAGGAACUAAAUGAGAUAAUGGCAAUAAGUGCAGUUUUAAAUGUGGGCAGGACAGGCAUCCAGUGUUGUGCACUUGGAUUUUACUAUCAUGCGGGAUCAAUAUUUACCUCCCUCAUCCUGGCAACCACUCCACUGCCCUAUCCCCAAACUCCCCACUAACUGUUUGAGGUGCACAGACAGCAGCAGAGGCAAUCAGCACCACAGGCCUUCCCCUGUUAGAAGCGGACAGGCAUGACAAGUGGAAGAUGUACCUAAUUAAGAAGCUAUUUGCUUCCAGAAAAUGAGCUUCCAAGUGACGAGGAGGCAGAACUGAGGAAGAGGAAAGAAGGGAAAGUAGGGACAGUGCCAGGGUCUCUGGGAAGAAGUGACUUCUUUGGGGAAGUUAGAGCUGAGAAGGUCCGACACAAGCUCCCCUGCUCAGAUGCCCCAGGACUCCUAGGAACUAGCACCCAGGCAGGGCCAAUCAGCAUCUGGAAUUCUGGAGAACAGGACCUGGGAACAUGGAGCCAUCAGUGUGAGGCUGCCACCUGGGGACGGCCACUCCCACAGGAGGAAAAUGCACUGAGAGUGGCCUGGGUUGCAAAUCUCACUUCGGAGCAGGAGCAGUAACUAGUUGCUGACUUGGACUCAAACAAGCCCAGACGAAUGGCAAAAGGUGGAGAGUAGCUCCGCCAUGAGAGACCCCAGCAGGGGAGGGACUGAAGGAGCUUCUUUUGGCCUCUCUGGAAAGGUUAAGGUCUCAUGGCUAUACCACAUGGCCUUGUCCCAUCCUUGCAGCUACCACUGGCCUGCGUUUCUCAGACGACAGAGCACGUCAGAGGUGAUUGGGGCUCCCCUCUGGGUGUGGAGUCCGCCCGCCACAUUCUUUCCAAAUGUUCCCCUUCACUGUGUUGGUCACAUCCUGUGGGGCCCAAGAAGCCUGGAGACGUGGUUUAGGAAGUGACAUGAGAGCCUGGCAUCCAGGGCACACUCCACCCUGCUCUCCUUGGGAUAUUCCACUUCCUGGGCCCCAUCCCCCAGUGUUGCCUCGGGGUAGCAGAGAGCAAGGCAAAGUCUCCCCAGCUCCCAUGGAGCCCUCACCCCAUCUUCUCCAUAUGGGGCAAAGGUUGGCUCAGCAGCAGGGCCAGGGCCUUUGCGUUCCUGCUUGGGAUUUGAAGUCAGAAAGAGGAGGGGAAGGGGGCCUGUCCGUUCAGCCGGCACCUCUGCUCACCUGGAGUCCCACGGACCAGACUGAGGGGAGGCACUGAGGGUCUGCGCUGCUGCUCUCUAUGUGACCGCUGAGUCAUGGAGGAAAAAGGGACCUGAGGCAUGUGCCCUGCCCCCCGGGAACACUUGGCUAAAAACCACCUCACUGUGAUUUGCUGCACAGACUCGCCGCAGGGCACAGCACCCUCCAGAAAAACAGGUCACUGAAAAUAAUAUCAGGGGAGGAAGUCAAGAAGGCUGCUGUAUUCAUUCUGCUUUAAUGAGUAGAGCUCUCCUCUCUCUUUCUCUCGGCUCCCUUGCUUUGGAGGGAGCCAGCUACACAGAAAUUCAGGCAGUCUAUGAAGAGGCUCACCUUGUGCCAGUGACCACUUGAGUGAGCCAUCUUAGAAGUGGCUCUUCCAGCCCCAGACAAACUUUCAGAAACUAAAGCCCUGCUUCACAUCCUGACUAGAACCUUAUGAGAAACUCUGAGCCCAACCCACCCAGUUAAACCACUCCUGAAUCCCUGCCCCACAAAAACUGUGAGA